ACCUGAGCUGCCAUUUCACGGUCGGACAGGCCGCCGCAAAUCUGGAUAAUACGGUCAGACAGCGUCGACUUACCGUGGUCAAUGUGAGCAAUGAUCGAAAAGUUACGUAUAUUCUUCAUAUAUGGAGAUUAUUUUGCCUUACGGAUACCAGGAGGCCGGGAUUCUGAGCCUGACGUUUUUAGUCUGAAACGCCGCAUUCUACACUACAACAUGAAUGCGAGGAAAUGCUCAUCCUGUCCCGGUAAAAAGGGGGAGAUUACUCUGCUAUACGCAACUCGUCCGGCGGCAGCCCUACGCUCAGGAUCACCGGUUGCCAGGCUUCACGCGUGGCCAGACUGGCCGAGAAGCCCCGCGCAAUCAAAAAGCCACCAACGCCGCCGAGAACCGCCCCGCAUAAUGCGGCAAUAUCGCUGGAAAACAGCGCCUGGAAAAUCGAUGCAACGAUAAAUAAGCCCACCAGCGGCGACAUAUAAACCAGCAGCGCCGAACUCAGCAGGCUGGCUUCGGCAAUUCCCAGCUCAACUUUUUGCCCGGCAAUCAGUGGCUGUGCGCUGGGAACCGUGAUCGUGUGGCUGGUCUGCGGGCCAAGUUUAUUUAGCACCCGACUGCCGCAGCCUGCACGUGAUGCACAGCUAUUACAGGACGCUUUUACGUCGCAGUGGACCUGUGCCUGACCGUUUUGCCAUGAGACAACGGUCGCCCAUUCUUUGAUCAUUGGACGGCCUUAAAUUUUAUGCUGUCAGCAAUGCGC
rnacentral:ncRNA from 1 species